GCCGGAGUGGCGGAAUUGGCAGACGCCCGGGACUUAAAAUCCCGUGACUCUAAGAGUCGUACCGGUUCGAGCCCGGUCUCCGGCACCA
rnacentral:tRNA from 1 species